GAUGAACGCUGGCGGCGUGCCUAAUACAUGCAAGUCGAGCGAACGGACGAGAAGCUUGCUUCUCUGAUGUUAGCGGCGGACGGGUGAGUAACACGUGGAUAACCUACCUAUAAGACUGGGAUAACUUCGGGAAACCGGAGCUAAUACCGGAUAAUAUUUUGAACCGCAUGGUUCAAAAGUGAAAGACGGUCUUGCUGUCACUUAUAGAUGGAUCCGCGCUGCAUUAGCUAGUUGGUAAGGUAACGGCUUACCAAGGCAACGAUGCAUAGCCGACCUGAGAGGGUGAUCGGCCACACUGGAACUGAGACACGGUCCAGACUCCUGCGGGAGGCAGCAGUAGGGAAUCUUCCGCAAUGGGCGCAAGCCUGACGGAGCAACGCCGCGUGAGUGAUGAAGGUCUUCGGAUCGUAAAACUCUGUUAUUAGGGAAGAACAUAUGUGUAAGUAACUGUGCACAUCUUGACGGUACCUAAUCAGAAAGCCACGGCUAACUACGUGCCAGCAGCCGCGGUAAUACGUAGGUGGCAAGCGUUAUCCGGAAUUAUUGGGCGUAAAGCGCGCGUAGGCGGUUUUUAAGUCUGAUGUGAAAGCCCACGGCUCAACCGUGGAGGGUCAUNUGGAAACUGGAAAAUUGAGUGCAGAAGAGGAAAGUGGAAUUCCAUGUGUAACGGUGAAAUGCGCAGAGAUAUGGAGGAACACCAGUGGCCGAAGGCGACUUUCUGGUCUGUAACUGACCGCUGAUGUGCGGAAAGCGUGGGGGAUC
rnacentral:rRNA from 1 species